UAACAGAAAGUACUUGCUACUUUGCUGACGAGCGGCGGACGGGUGAGUAAUGCUUGGGAACAUGCCUUGGGGUGGGGGACAACAGUUGGAAACGACUGCUAAUACCGCAUAAUGUCUACGGACCAAAGGGGGCUUCGGCUCUCGCCUUUAGAUUGGCCCAAGUGGGAUUAGCUAGUUGGUGAGGUAAUGGCUCACCAAGGCGACGAUCCCUAGCUGGUUUGAGAGGAUGAUCACCCACACUGGGACUGAGACACGGCCCACACUCCUACGGGAGGCAGCAGUGGGGAAUAUUGCACAAUGGGCGCAAGCCUGAUGCACCCAUGCCGCGUGUGUGAAAAAGGCCUUCGGGUUGUAAAGCACUUUCAGUCAGGAGGAAAGGUUAGUAGUUAAUACCUGCUAGCUGUGACGUUACUGACAGAAAAAGCACCGGCUAACUCCGUGCCAGCAGCCGCGGUAAUACAGAGGGUGCGAGCGUUAAUCGGAAUUACUGGGCGUAAAGCGUACGCAGGCGGUUUGUUAAGCGAGAUGUGAAAGCCCCGGGCUCAACCUGGGAACUGCAUUUCGAACUGGCAAACUAGAGUGUGAUAGAGGGUGGUAGAAUUUCAGGUGUAGCGGUGAAAUGCGUAGAGAUCUGAAGGAAUACCGAUGGCGAAGGCAGCCACCUGGGUCAACACUGACGCUCAUGUACGAGAGCGUGGGGAGCAAACAGGAUUAUAUACCCUGGUAGUCCACGCCGUAUACGAUGUCUACUAGAAGCUCGGAACCUCGGUUCUGUUUUUCAAGCUAACGCAUUAAGUAGACCGCCUGGGGAGUACGGCCGCAGGUUAAAACUCAAUGAAUUGACGGGGGCCCGCACAC
rnacentral:rRNA from 1 species